rnacentral:lncRNA from 1 species
CUCAUCAAGAGGCCAAGAUGAUUCUACAGGGAGACAGGGAACAUUUGCUCCAGACCGACUGCCCUCCCUCCAGGCUGAAGUGCUUGCCCAGGACCUGCAAAGAAAGCACCUCAGAACAUGUGCUAGACUCUACCCCACCCCUGCAGUCCUUACCCAGGAAUAAAAAGUAGCUCUCUUCUUUGUUCAGGGAACAGUUGGACACUCUCAUGACUGAUGCUUUGUGUCCCCUCUGCUCGAGGAAGAAGCCCCAAUGAAGAGAACUGGUCCUUUAAUAGUUAUGCCUUUAACUGGUUCUUCUGAUGCAGAGAACGUGAACCCCCAAGCCAGUGACAGUGAGAUGGAUCAAGAGUGCUCACGAUGACAUCCUCCCCAGCUGAAUCUGAUUUUCUUUAUUCCCCAGUGGCCCUGUGCUGGUCGGCUCCGAUGCUGCAACAAACACCUGAGAACAACAACUUAGAGGAGGAAAGAUGUACUUGGGCCCAUGGAUUUGAGAGGUUUUUAGUGACCAUGGUUGGCUGGCUUGAUUGCUUUGGGCUGAGGUGAGGCAGAAAUUCAUGGAGGAAGGGUAUGUAGCAGAGGAAAGUUCUGGAGCUCAGAGCAGCCAGGAAGGAGAGAGAAAGCAGGGUUGGGAAGAGGCAGGUCAGGAACAAGAAAUAACCCCCAACCACGCAGAGCAUGGUCCCAGUGACCUAAUUCUUCCAACCAUGCCCCACCACCUACAGUUUCCACUACCUCCCAGUAGUC